AGUGAACGCUGGCGGUAGGCCUAACACAUGCAAGUCGAACGGCAGCACAGUAAGAGCUUGCUCUUACGGGUGGCGAGUGGCGGACGGGUGAGGAAUACAUCGGAAUCUACUUUUUCGUGGGGGAUAACGUAGGGAAACUUACGCUAAUACCGCAUACGACCUACGGGUGAAAGCAGGGGAUCUUCGGACCUUGCGCGAUUGAAUGAGCCGAUGUCGGAUUAGCUAGUUGGCGGGGUAAAGGCCCACCAAGGCGACGAUCCGUAGCUGGUCUGAGAGGAUGAUCAGCCACACUGGAACUGAGACACGGUCCAGACUCCUACGGGAGGCAGCAGUGGGGAAUAUUGGACAAAGGGCGCAAGCCUGAUCCAGCCAUACCGCGUGGGUGAAGAAGGCCUUCGGGUUGUAAAGCCCUUUUGUUGGGAAAGAAAAGCAGCAGGUUAAUACCCCGCUGUUCUGACGGUACCCAAAGAAUAAGCACCCGCUAACUUCGUG
rnacentral:rRNA from 1 species